rnacentral:misc_RNA from 1 species
GAUGAAGAACGCAGCAAAAUGCGAUAAGUAAUGUGAAUUGCAGAAUUCAGUGAACCAUCGAAUCUUUGAACGCACAUUGCGCCCGGCAGUAAUCUGCCGGGCAUGCCUGUCCGAGCGUCAUUUCUGCCCUCGAGCGAGUCCAGCAUCUAGGUGCUGGGCCCGCCCGGCGUUGGGGCACUACGGGAAGCCCUGUGCUGUCCCCCGUAGGCCCCGAAAUGAAGUGGCGGUCCUGCCGCGGCGCCCCCUGCGUAGUAUAACAGCUCGCUUCGGGACCCGGUGGAGGCCUGCCGUCAAACCUUACUCUCUAAGUUUGACCUCGGAUCAGGUAGGGUUACCCGCUGAACUUAAGCAUAUCAAUAAGCGGAGGA